rnacentral:rRNA from 1 species
GAUGAACGCUGGCGGCGUGCCUAAUACAUGCAAGUCGAGCGAACAGACGAGGAGCUUGCUCCUCGGACGAUAGCGGCGGACGGGUGAGUAACACGUGGAUAACCUACCUAUAAGACUGGGAUAACUUCGGGAAACCGGAGCGAAUACCGGAUAAUAUAUUGAACCGCAUGGGUCAAUAGUGAAAGACGGUUUUGCUGUCACUUAUAGAUGUAUCCGCGCCGCAUGAGCGAGUUGGUAAGGUAACGGCUUACCAAGGCAACGAUGCGUAGCCGCCCUCAGAGGGUGCUCGGCCACACUGGCACUGAGACACGGUCCAGACUCCUACGGGAGGCAGCAGUAGCGAAUCUUCCGCAAUGGGCGAAAGCCUGACGGAGCAACGCCGCGUGAGUGAUGAAGGUCUUCGGAUCGUAAAACUCUGUUAGUAGGGAAGAACAAAUGUGUAAGUAACUAUGCACGUCUUGACGGUACCUAAUCAGAAAGCCACGGCUAACUACGUG